CGGAGAGUGAGUUCUUCAACACUCGGGGCCCUCGUUACCCUAAGAUCACAAUAGCUUUCUGGCCAUACACUCAAAUAGUAGCAGCAGCAGUGACCGCCACGAAAGGAACUUCUAGCAGUGUCUGUUCGUUCCCAUUAGCUAAACUGCACACAGGCUCAAAAUGAAUGCAAGGCGGGGUCAUGCGCGCGGACAGAGGACCAGACAUCGCCGUGAAACCCAGUAGUAUCUUGCAACUGAGAGGAACAGAGUGCGCUGGAUUAUUUCUAACUUGUGCUGUCAUAGCAUAGCUAAACACGGCAUUCUGUCGGGAGCGAAGACCGCGACAGUACAAGUCACUAGAAAGGCGGAUCUACGGGAACGUUCGAUCGUCUCUGACUCGAGAUCAAUGACGUAGGGACGCACUCUGCGGCCCGUAGACCCGUCCGGUCUUUCGUAAGCUACAGAUCGGUAUUGGAGAACAGC